AAAGACUUAGUCCUAACCUUACAGUUGGCCCCUGCUAGACAUAUACAUGCAAGUAUCUGCGGUCCAGUGUAGAUGCCCUAAACCUCUUGCCAAGACUAAAGGAGCAGGCAUCAGGCACACACCAUCAACUGUAGCCCAAGACGCCUUGCUCAGCCACACCCCCACGGGCACUCAGCAGUAAUUAACAUUAAGCAAUAAGCGCAAGCUUGACUUAGUCAUAGCAGCCUUAGGGUUGGUAAAUCUUGUGCCAGCCACCGCGGUCAUACAAGAAACCCGAGCCAACAGUCACACGGCGUAAAGAGUGGACUAGAACCUGUCAUAAUAACUAGGAAUAACCAAAACAUAACUGAGCUGUCAUAAGCCCAAGAUAUCCCUAAGGCCAACUUAAAAAUGAUCCUAGUAUAUCCGACGGACCAAACCCCACGAAAGCUAGGGUCCAAACUGGGAUUAGAUACCCCACUAUGCCUAGCCCUAAAUCCUGAUGUUCAUCGUACCAUAGCACAUCCGCCCGAGAAUUACGAGCACAAACGCUUGAAACUCUAAGGACUUGGCGGUGCCCCAAACCCACCUAGAGGAGCCUGUUCUGUAAACGACACCCCACGCUACACCCUACCACUUCUCGCCAGAAUACAGCCUACAUACCGCCGUCGCCAGCUCACCCUAAUUGAAGGGCGCACAGUGAGCACAAUAACCACCCCGUUAGCACGACAGGUCAAGGUAUAGCCUACGAAGUGGAAGUAAUGGGCUACAUUUUCUAAUAUAGAACACUCCAACGGAAGGAGACAUGAAAUUGUUUCCAGAAGGCGGAUUUAGCAGUAAAGCAGGAUAACAUAAGCCUACUUUAAGUUGGCCCUGAGGCACGUACAUACCGCCCGUCACCCUCCUCACAAGCUACCAACCCCAGAUAACUAACCCUCUACUACAGCCAAAGAUGAGGUAAGUCGUAACAAGGUAAGUGUACCGGAAGGUGUACUUAGCAUAU
rnacentral:ncRNA from 1 species